UACGUAGGGUGCGAGCGUUAAUCGGAAUUACUGGGCGUAAAGCGUGCGUAGGCGGUUCGUUAAGUGCGUCGUGAAAGCCCCGGGCUCAACCUGGGAAUGGCGAUGGAAACUGGCGGGCUGGAGUAUGGCAGAGGGGGGUGGAAUUCCGCGUGUAGCAGUGAAAUGCGUAGAGAUGCGGAGGAACACCGAUGGCGAAGGCAGCCCCCUGGGCCAAUACUGACGCUGAGGAGCGAAAGCCAGGGGAGCAAACGGG
rnacentral:rRNA from 1 species